GUGAAUUAGACAAAGUGACUCCCGGAGAAUCUCGGCUCUAUGAACUCUUGAGCUGUCAAGGGACUGAGAGGCUUAUGAAGAGGUUCUGUCAGGCAAAACAGUGCUUAGCAAAGACACCAAGGAGGAGGGAAAAGGAGAAAGGGAGGGAGAGAGAGCUGAAACACUAACAAACCAUGAGAUCGAUCCGAUCGUUUGCUAACGAUGACCGCCACGUAAUGGUGAAACACUCGACCAUUUAUCCAUCUCCAGAGGAACUUGAAGCUGUCCAGAACAUGGUAUCCACAGUAGAAUGUGCCCUUAAGCAUGUCUCUGACUGGAUGGAUGAGAAGAACAAGUCUACCAAGUGUGAGGGUGAUGCGGAAGCCAAGGAGGAAGCCGUGGAAGGCACUGCCAAGGAUCAAGGUGGUCGGACUCUCUGUGGUGUGAUGAGAAUUGGCUUGGUUGCAAAGGGCUUGCUGAUAAAAGAUGAUAUGGAUCUGGAGCUGGUUCUUAUGUGCAAAGAAAAACCCACAAAGACCUUGUUAUGUAUCGUUAAAGACAAUCUCCCAGCUCAAAUUCAGAAACUUACAGAAGAGAAGUAUCUGGUGGAGGAGCAUGUAAAUGAGGCAGCUAUUGUUAUCCGUAACACAAAGGAGCCCAAGCUCACUUUGAAGGUGAUACUCACGUCCCCUCUCAUCCGAGAUGAAGCAGAGAAGAAGGAAGGAGUAGAUAAUGUUGCGAUGAAAGAUCCUCCGGACUUAUUGGACAGGCAGAAAUGCCUGGAGGCCUUGGCGUCUCUGCGGCACGCCAAAUGGUUUCAGGCCAGGGCAAAUGGACUAAAAUCAUGUGUAAUUGUCCUUCGUAUUCUGCGGGAUUUGUGCAACAGAGUCCCCACAUGGGCACCACUGAAAGGCUGGCCACUCGAGCUUAUAUGUGAAAAAUCUAUAGGUACUUGUAAUAGACCUUUGGGCGCUGGGGAAGCGUUGCGGCGAGUCAUGGAGUGUUUGGCAUCUGGAAUUCUGCUUCCCGGAGGGCCGGGGCUGCACGACCCCUGCGAGCGCGAGCCCACGGACGCUCUGUCCUACCUGAGCGUGCAGCAAAAAGAAGCCAUUACACACAGUGCCCAGCAUGCACUCAGACUAUCAGCCUUUGGGCAGAUCUAUAAGGUGUUGGAAAUGGAUCCCCUCCCAUCCAAUAAGUCAUUUCAGAAAUAUUCCUGGUCAGUAACUGACAAAGAAGGUACAGGCUCGGCUGCUCUGAAGAGACCCUUUGAAGACAGUGUCGGGGAUGACAAGGAUCCAAACAAAAAGAUGAAGCGUAAUCUGAGGAAAAUACUAGAUAGUAAAGCAAUAGAUCUCAUGAAUGCUCUGAUGAGGCUGAACCAAAUCAGGCCAGGGCUUCAGUAUAAGCUGCUGUCACAGUCUGGUCCAGUCCAUGCCCCAGUCUUCACAAUGUCUGUAGAUGUUGAUGGUACGACUUAUGAAGCAUCAGGACCUUCUAAGAAAACAGCCAAGCUCCAUGUGGCAGUGAAGGUUUUACAAGCAAUGGGAUAUCCCACUGGCUUUGAUGCAGACGUGGAAUGUGUGAGUUCUGAUGAAAAAUCAGAUACUGAAGGUAAAAAUGAAACUACGUCUUCAAUCUCAAGCAAUAAUACUGGAAAUUCCACAGCGGACACCUCUGCUACCCUAGAGGUAAGAACUCAGGGUCCCAUACUCACAGCAAGUGGCAAAAACCCGGUGAUGGAGCUCAAUGAAAAGAGAAGAGGUCUCAAGUACGAGCUCAUCUCUGAGACCGGUGGGAGCCACGACAAGCGCUUUGUGAUGGAGGUAGAAGUAGAUGGGCAGAAGUUCAGAGGUGCAGGCCCAAACAAGAAGGUAGCAAAAGCAAGUGCUGCAUUAGCAGCACUUGAAAAACUGUUUUCUGGGCCUAAUGCAGCAAACAACAAGAAGAAGAAGAUUCUUCCUCAGACUAAAGGGGUUGUCAAUACAGCUGUUUCUGCAGCAGUCCAGGCUGUUCGAGGCAGAGGACGAGGUGCUUUAACACGAGGGGCAUUUGUCGGGGCAGCUGCUGCUACUGGAUACAUAACACCAGGCUAUGGAGCACCGUACGGGUACAGCACCGCGGCGCCGGCCUACGGUUUACCCAAGAGAAUGGUUCUGUUACCAGUUAUGAAAUUCCCAACUUACCCCGUUCCCCACUACUCAUUCUUUUAGCAAAUGGCAGAAGCUAAUUCCUAUUGAUUGAACAACACAGUACAGUACAGAAUGUUAGAAGAAAAAAAGCCUUUUUAUCCUGUUUUCUUUGAACACAUACUUGAGCAAAGUCAUUUGUAAAGAAACAUCUUUUUCCUACUUUUUGAUUUUAACAAAAUGCAAAUUUAGUUCUCUAAAACUUGAAAAAAAUGUUCUGUGAAAUGUUACCUCAUUUUCAAAUAACUUAUACCAGCCUUCUGUUAUAGGGAAGAACUAGAAGCUUAAAUCUUACGUUUUAAAUGAAGUAUCCGAUUAUGUAAAAUUAAAUUUGUGAAGGAUGUAUAGAAUAUAAAACACUGAUCACAAAUAAACUGUUUUGUUGUAACACAAGAGUACUGCCUGUUUCCUAAUGCAGUCACACAGACUCAGUUAAUGACCUGUACUUGCUGUAGGGUUAUUAAAUGCAGGGCAUAGUUCUUUAAAAAAAAACAAAAAUAAAAAUUAAAAAAAAAAAACCACCACACAAUAGAAACUUUACAGUUAACAUUUAACUUUGUAAAUAUUAUGGUGUGUAAUAAACUUAGUAAAAUCUGGGUUAAAAUAUUGGUUUAUCUUAUUUUUUAUAGUUAAGCAUCAGUACCUGAGUUUCCUUAUAGAUCAGCAUACUGUAACUGUGAUUUUAGACACAGUCUUAAUUAUCCAAGAAGACUUUCACUCGUACACAAAAUGCUGAAAAACAAACAAAACAAAGGGAAUUAAUUUAGGCUGUCUCUGUCUAAGGCUGCAUUCUGUGAAACAAGUAUUAAACCAAGGAAGUUCCCACUGAAGGAUUUAUGCAAUUCCAGGGAUACACCUUACGCCCGUAUUGCCCAGAGAAAGGACAAUAACCUUACAAUCAGGUUCUUCAGAGCUCAAAAGCUGCUCGUUUUCCUUUCUUUUCUGUUUUUACCAAAAAAAAAAAAAAAAAAAAAAAGAGGAAAAAAAAGAAAAAAAUUGCACUUGUUCUUGUGGCCUUCUUCACUUUUAAGAUUGUCUGCCCACCCUUGAUUUUCCAUCCACCAUUUCUACAGAAAGCAUUUUAGUUGUCAAUUGUCUAUUAAACCAAAGGUUCUCCUUUUCCCCCUUACAUUUAUAAGAAUCUAAAGCAGCAACAAGGUCCCCAUGAAAACUUGCUAUUUAAUUGUCCCAGUUCUUGUUGAGUGCUGCUGUGACCAGUGACACACUUCAGCCAUAGGCCAGUACUUUCUAACAGUUGGUGCUCCAACCCAAAGCUCCUCUUUCCAUGAGGAGUGGGUGCACCUGUCUGAAAUUCCAGGACAGGCCCCAGCUCCACGACUGGAGUCUCCCUGGAUUGUGGGCUCUGAUGAGGGAUUCCAGUGGUCUUUAUUAAGGUAUCACCCCACGAAUCAGCAGCGUUGUUGGUUGCACUCUCUCCUCAGCCCUCACCCCUUGCUUUUCCAUAGGCUGACUGUAGUUCCUGCUCUUCCAAAGAUUUGCCUUUAUCCCCUGUUCUCUAACAGACUCUGCUGCUGAGGCAGGGGGAGCUUUGUAUGUGACAAGGGUGUAAAACCAGUGCUUAAAGCAACGUAAAGUCCCUCCUCCCCCACACCCCCUUAGAGGGAAAGAAAUAUUAGAAAAGCUGAAUAAGGGGUGGCUUAUAGAACAAGCUGCUUUCCUUGGAAUUAACUGCAGCUGUUAUUCUUAAGCUAAGUAUUUGUGCUUAGGAAUGUGUUUCCAUGUCACUGGGUUUCCUUCUGCCGGAGCUCUCCUUCCCUUGGUGCUGGUGGUACUUUAAUAAGACGGAGAUUCCUGGCCAGGAGGGUGAGCAGGGCCUGGGGAGGGCCCCAAAUUGAGGUGCUCAGAAAUCACUGAUCUGGUUUGCUGGCCUAUGGAUGAAAGGAAGCCAUCACGGAGCAGAAAAAGCAUGGCUGAUCAGAGCCCGUUUUUGUUAAUCAAAUAUUCAUUAAAGGAAUCUUUCCUCCACACACAUUUCCCUCCCCCCCUUUUGGAGUUCCCCCAAUUGGCAACUGUUUGUAGUUUCUUUUUUUUGGUUGUUUUUUCCUGAAUCCCCAGCUUUGUAAAAUUUCAAACAAAAUAUUCUGUGAACCAAUUCUAUACAAUGAACAUUGGUAAGCCAAAAACUUGUUCUUAUUUCAAAGACAAGAAGGGCGCUAUGCUCUUUUCCAACAUGAUGGCAGUCAUUUCAGAUGAUUUAUAGAAGUCAUUUUUUAUUUUUUGUCAUUUGUUGGGAGUUACUAACCACAUUGUAAACUUGCCCCCUUGCUGCAUAUUUUACAUUUCUCUGCUUUACUGAAAAUAUGAAUGAGCUGUCAGUUCUUUGUUUAGAAAGUGAUAACCUUGAAAGUGUUAGAUGUUUCAAUACCUUCAAAGAAUUCAAAGUGCCCAUUUUACAAUGAAAAUUCCACUUGCAGCUGAAAGAGCAGAGAAAUUUAAAUGGAGCUUUAGCCUCAGCCAGUCUCAGCAAUUAACGUGAGGUUUUUGCUUCUCUGCUCUUCUCCCACUGUAGGUGGUUUUUUCAUUGACAGUCCCUAUUGCCAGCCUCUCAGCAUCGCACCUUUUAUUAUUCACUUGGGCCCUCAAGAUUUCUUCUCUGACUUCUAGAACCAUCAGGUUGUGUGGCUCCAAAUGGCAUUUUGUACAUGUCUUAAAAGCAAGAAAAAACGUGGCUCGUUUUGAGGUUUCUCAACUUCAGACAUGGAAUCUGAGCUUUUUUCCUUUUUCCUUUUUUUUUUUUUUUUAAUUUUCCCAAAUGUUCUUCUCACUUCUUGAACUUUGCUCCAUGUAACAAAAAGCAAUACCUGGUCCAAGCCCCAGUCCUCUCUUUGGGUACAGAGCAAUAGAUGUGUAAAUACUCCUGGUUAUUUCUCACACUGAAAGGGAAAGACUGGUGUGUCGGGGGGAAAAGCAACCACCAACCAAGGCCUAGCCCCGGCCGAGUGCUGCUUCAAGCAGUGCCAGCUGCCUCCACCUCCCCUCCUGAAGCCCUUCCCGAUUGGAAUCCUAUGCUGUAUUUGCACGUUUGCUGUCCCAGUUGCUACAGAGCCGUGCAAUGGUCACUGCUGAAGUGCUUGGUACCAUUGUGCACCUCAGCAGACAUGAAAUGUAGCAAAGAAGUAGAAGAGAAAAACAAUAUCUCUUUUUUCCAAAACGUAACUAAAUGAUAUCUUCUCUCUCUCUUUUCCCCACAUCAUUGAUAUGAGGCACAAAAAGGGUAGGCCUGAACUGGAAAGUCAAGUGGAUUGCUUUUGUGUCUCUUUAAACCAUCACCAAACGAUAGGAAAACUCGGUAUUUGGGAAACAUCCAGGUCAAAAAACUUUGCUGCUCUAAAUUUACUGAGGUUUUUUCCUCUUGCAUAUUUGUAUGUUGAUACUUUGAGAUUGUCAAUCAGCAAUAACUGAAAGGUGAAUGUUUUUUUAAAUGGUAUUGGAACAUCUAUAUGUUACAGCUUAAGACUUCUAAGCAGUUUUCAGCAGGUUAAUUCCACUUUAUUCUCAUUCUCUCCGGACCUUCAUAGCCAUAUGCACUUGUAUAAAAUAAGCAGAAAUGUAGUGACUGUAAGCUGAGACCCUGAUAUAAAAGGUAAGAGAUUUUAUUUUCAGCUUAAAGACUAUUUUUAUUGCUUUUUUUCUAAGAAUCUCAUAUAUCUGUGACAAUCUUGUAUAUGGCACGUUUUUAUUAUGUCUUGUUUAACUCAGUGUUUAAAGAGGUGAUACUUAGGUCUGAAUCCCAACUUUGUAUUCCUCAAGGCCAAUUCAAAUACCCCCAGUUAAGAAAGAAAAUAUUACCUAACACUUUUAAGAAAUUGUUUGGUUUUAUCAGCAGACUGUUCUUCCAAUAUUUUCCUCUUGUGUAGCAUAAAAAGCAGUAUUGCUACUGCUGUGCCAGGCAGUGCAAUCCCUGUGGAUACCUCUGGGUAGGUACCAAAGCCAGCUCUGAAGGCCACACCUUGGUCCUGGGGAUGUGGGAUGGGUGACAGUAACGAACUGAUAACGAGAGAAACUGUUUCCCUAAACUAUUAAAGCUAAACUCCAAAUGAAGAAGGAAAGACUUUGAUGAUAUUACAGUUAAAAUCUGCAGAGAUCAAAUUACAUUAAGCCAAAUUAAUUCAGGAAGCAGCCAAGUUUGCUUCCCUCCCCUGUGUGCAGAGGAGGGCAGGCAGGCAGGGAUUGAUCUCUGUGUGAAUCAUGUGCUUAGCUGUGGUUUUCUACAGCUGGAAAUCAGGAUACAGCCAUCCAUAAAUAAUUGUUUUCCGUUCUGUAGUAAAUGUUUUAACACAUUUUACUUGGAUUAAAAUGGGUUUGGAUUAUGACCCAUUGGUGCACAUGAUAUGUGUAGUUUUAAAAUACUAUUUUUUUUAUUUGCCUUUUAAACCUUGCUUUAUGCAAAGUUGCAUAGUACAGAACUGCAGAAGUGCAGUUCUUGCAGAACUUGAAGUUGCUGGAAACAACUCUUUUUAUAUAAAAAUGCUUAAAAAAUAAAAAAGCAAAAGAGAGCAAGUUGAUGAUGAUGUAGCAGCUUUUUAGGGUCUCAAUUCAGAGAUUAAAAGAUAAAUAAACCCCGGACUGAUCACAGUUUAUAUCGGUAUGAAGCAGACUUAGUACAGAAUAUCUGCAUCAAAAUUCAAGAGCAAAUAUAAACUGUGUUUGAUUUUAAUACUGAGCCAUCAGAUUCACUAAAUAACUGUGUGUGUAGGUUAUCCAUAGCUCAGGGGAUGUCUGCAGAGAAUUCCAGGCUGAUCAAGAGCUGUUGCUCCUGUGGGCAGGAACCUGGCCUGGCAGGUGGCACCUGGGGAACUGAACUUGAGGAGCUGUGUCAGGGGCUGGCCCUGGAAACACAGAACCCUUCACUGACACUUGCAGGACAGCUGAUGAGCCAUCAGAACAUCCUUCCAGGGCAGUGCUGAUCCCAGAGCAGUCUGAUCCCAGAGCAGUGCUGAUCCCAGAGCAGUGCUGAUCCCAGAGGAAUGCUGAUCCCAGAGCAAUCUGAUCCCAGAGCAGUGCUGAUCCCAGAGCAGUCUGAUCCCAGAGCAGUGCUGAUCCCAGAGCAGUGCUGAUCCCAGAGUAGCAGCUGAUCCCAGAGCAGUCUGAUCCCACAGCAGUGCUGAUCCCAGAGCAGUGCUGAUCCCACAGCAGUGCUGAUCCCAGAGUAAUGCUGAUCCCACAGCAGUCUGAUCCCACAGCACAGCUGAUCCCACAGCAGUCUGAUCCCAGAGCAGCAGCUGAUGCCAGAGCAUUGCUGAUCCCAGAGCAGCAGCUGCUGUGCCUCCUUCAGACAGGAGUUUAGAUGCAUUAAGGUGCAUUAUAAUGAACUUCUCCUGAGUAUUCCCUUCCUAACUGCUGUCAGCCUGACAAGCACUGUCCAGGUCAAGGACUGAUAACGAACAUCUUGCUGACUCUCAUUUGAUCUGCUUCUUCAUGGACUGUGCUUGGCAGCUUAAUCCAUCUGUGUUUCUUUCCAUCAGAAUUGCUGUGACUGUGAAUUUCCCUAUGUUUCUGCCAUCACCCUUUUAACUCUUACUAUCCUAAGUAUUCCACUCUCCUACUGUUUUUUUUUUAAUUUGUUGGAUCUUUUUUCUCUAAAUUUCUCUAAAACACUGUUGUUUGUAAUGCAGUACUUAGGUCUGAAAUGUCCCCUUGCCUUUGCUGCCUCCCUUCACAGUAGGAGAACCUUUUCCUGCCAUGUGAAACAGAGUACUUAAAACUCCUAAAUCCUGGGUUCUGCAGCCCCUUGGAAUCAGAGCUCAGACCCGAGAGUGCAGGAUUGCCUGGGAAUCCCCUCACUGAUGUGGAACUUGAGCAAAAUAGCCCCAUGUGUCAAAGAGUCACAGAGUAGGUUCUUAAGUGCCUGAUGCUCUGGCAUUUGAGAGAGCAGCCAAAUUCUCAGUAGGUUUUAACCUAACUGAAAUAUCAGGCUAUUAUGUGAUGAGUAAUUUGGGUGACAUCUGCUUCAUCAGUGUUGCAACAAGCACUGUUUUAACGCCAAGGCAGAACUAGAAACUCUUUUUUGCACAAUGUUGUAGGUUUCCUCUGAAAAGCCUCCUCAGAGGAGCGUGGUUUGAAGUGCCUUUUCUGUGAGGUUGGAGGUCUGUGUCACUGCUCCUGAGCUCUGUAUUUCUGUGUGCCCAGCAGCCAGACACGUACCCCUGGUUCCACAUGCUUUGUGCAGCUGCCAGGAUCACUGCCCGUUCGGCAGCCCCUUUCCAGUGAAGCACAAAUGUUACUUUACAGUUUGAAUUUCUGGUUCAUGGAAAAGAAUUCCGAAGAAGUUCCUUUCAAUUAGUACAUCUAUAAAUAGGAGAGCAGGGAGAGUCUGUGCCCGUACACUACCCACCUCACCGCUCGUUUUAGCUAACCAGAUGAUCGUGUGUAUUUUGGGAGAUGGUGUCUGGCACUUAAAGGAUUAAAAGCAGCCAGAGAUUUACAAUAAGGAACUGACCUGUUUGAUGUGUUAUCUGUACUGGAGGUGAAUGGCGUUGCUAUUGACUUUGGAGUAACAUCUGUGAACUCUGGGGUCUGCUCAGUCCUACUUCAGCAGCCACCGGAGAUUGUCCAGCCGUGUUCUACCUAGAGGAGGUGUCAGAGUAACCACACUGCUCUGGAGGGGCUGGCUGGCUCAAAGCAAGGGCUGUGAUGCUUCCUGCCAUCGUGUCCCCUCUGUGCCAGUGCUUGCAGUCUCCCCUGAGCACAGCCCAGGACUUGGAACACGGUGACCUUGUUGCCGGGCGUGGUGCCCGGGGCUGGAGCGGGGCCAGCCGUGCUCAGGGAGGGAAUGUGGAACGCGCGGCCUCGCUGCCCAAGCAAUUUCUGCUGGACACGGUGCCCAGUCCAACCCUCACAAAGGCAGUUUGGUGCCUGGGUAGGUGGUUCCUAAUCUGUCUAAUUUGCUGUCGUGUGGCCAGUGUGAGCUAAUUAGAUGAUUCAGCAAAUGUCAUGGCUCCCAGUUAAUGUGCUCUAAAUGCUGUUGCCACAACUUUCUCUGCUGGUAAAUACCUUUGCUUCUGUACUCUGUCCUCCUGCCCUGCCCUGCCCUUUCUGAUCACCUUCUGGUAUCCCAGUAAAUAGCUGAUUCUCUCAAAUUAUGGAACUUUACAUAGGAGUGUCUAGAUUCUUAAAAACUUUUAACCAGACUAUGAAGCACUUCAAAGAAACUAGUUUUCCUACAAAUAUUUCAACUUAUUCAUGUGCCAGGGGACUAUUUCUACUCAUUUACAAAGAUCAGAAAACUACUCCAGGAUCUCUGAUCUCUGGAGACAGGGAUUCUUUCUUUGAGAACACUUGCCUUCUGGUAGGAAAAAAAGAUUUAAAGUGUGUCAUACUCAAUAGAAGACUGUGCCCUCAAGCCCCUGAAAGAACUUAAUUGGGGAAAAGUGCACAAAUAUAAAAUUAUUUGAGGCUUUUUGCUUUCAUUGAGCUACUGAGAAUAAUUUCCCUGACAACAAGUUCCUCAGAUUAUUAGGAAGCAGAAAAUGCAGGAAGCGGUGCAUGGAGAUUUUUCAAGUAGUCUAGGAAGAAAAAUCUCCUAUUUGUUGGCUGUUCAGCUCUGGAACAUCAAACUCUUGUCAUUUCUUAAUCUCCAAGAUAGCAAUAAAUGUGAGCAGCGUUAACGUGCCACCCCUGAUCCAGUCCCAGCAGUGCCCCAGGAGAGCGAGCCCAGCAGUCCCUGUCUUUUCAGUCACCAAUUCCCUGACAUGAAGUGUCCCUUGCUUCAUUUGUAAUUCUGCAUCUGCACUUCUGAGAGCCAGCCUAGAGGUGGGACUCCUGAACAUCCCUCCAGAUGUGUACAGAUGAAGAGCAGGCAGACAAGGCAGUAUUUCAGUCUUUACUCACACAAAAUGGCAGGUUUCCCUCUGCCUCUUGUGCUCACUCGGUAUUAGAACUCCUCGCCUUUAGCUAAAUUCUCAGUAGACAGUUGCCUGUUACUUAAUCAAGGGGAAACUCUGUCCCAGCUUCGCUGAGUUCCAAGCCACAGAAGCAGCUUACAAAAACAGCUCCUAUUUCCGGUGGCUCUGGGAAACAGCACAAGAACUCUGCGGCUGCGGAUUCCUUUGGAUACACCAUGGGAUGUGUAAACACGGAGUUCAGAUUGUUGUUCUCAGUCGUGGAGCUGACUGAGCCCUCCCCUCUCUGGCAUCAAAAGAAUGAAAAUGAGCUCUGUGCUGGGCUCACUGAGGAGCUCUGUUAGGAAGGGCUGCUCUGUCUCAAAAAACAGUAACUCAGCUCCAGUGUUCAGCACACAGAGCCUCUCGGGCUUCCUGCUGAAUAACCUAGUGAAAAAUGAGACACUUUAUUGACUUGUUUAAAACAAAGCAAAGGCACAGUGUAGUUGAAUCUGCUGUCUAUACAACAGGAGACAGCUUGUCUGGGGGCUCGCUGGGUUCAUCCCACUCUGAGAGGAAAUUCUGUUCAAGUCACUGUAGAGCAGUGACAGGAGAAAGUCGGCACUGAAGUCCUGGGCCUCUGGACCACGGCAGGUCCCCUGCCCUUCCUUUGGAACAUAAACCACGUAAGCCAGGAGUUAAGUGUUUGGCAUUAAGAGAAUUGUCACCAUGAAGCUGUUUCAUUACUCAACCCCAGAGUUAUGUCUCCUUAGCUUUAUUUGUGCCAUCUAAAUCCCCACUGAUUUACGUGCAGGCAUUCUACUGCUCCUGACACAUCUUGUUCCCAUUGUGCUCACAGGAAGGGGACUCAUUCACUCGUUGGUUUGUACCUGCUGUCAGAUAAUAUAAAAGCACAAGUAGGACAUAUCUGCCUGUUCCUCUCUCCGGGGUCUCUUAGGACAAAGGGUGCUCUUUGUGCCAGGCCUGUGUGAUGCUGUGCAGGCAAGGCAGUGCUCCUCUGUGAGGGGCAGCAGAUAGGUAAGAGAAAAGGCCGUCACACAGGAAGAUUUAAAUUCAGUAAAGUGGGGGGUUUUCUCCAGUUCCUGUGACUGCAAGAAACAUUCAGACGUGUUUUACCAUGAUUUUUAAGAGGAGCUGAAUGUCCCAAAGUGGUGUGUGGGGAUGUGCAGUUCUAAAGCAGAUCUCUUAAUUUGGAUGUUGUUUUAUCUUGUAUUUGGUGCCUUAACUCUGUACAAUUUAAGGUCAUAUAUACUAUACCACAGGUAGUUUAGUAGUUAAGUGUACUUGAAAAGAACCCAUCAAGCCUAGUCUAUAGAAACUCUUGCACAGACUGAAGCCUUCUCAGGGGGAGAGUACUCUUCCAUGUUUAAUUAAUAAUCUACCAAUAAAUUAGAGUUUUAAGAAUGUAAGAGCAUAAAAAAAAUUUAACCACAGAGACUGAAUUUAUCUGAUUUCUAACUUCAAAGGUUUGGGGCAAUAAGAAAGAUAAUUAAAGCUACAGUCUCUUCUAUGCUGUGUAAGUAAACAACAUCAGAAUGUUUUAUCACCAGCCUGAAGUGCAUGUUUGUGAAAACCUCUGGACUGUUAUCUCUACUAGAACAAAUAACACUUAAUUUUAAAAGGCAUUAAUUGAAUGUAACUGGCUAUCCUUCACUCAUUAGUACAGGGGAGCUGGAAUGAGUAAGAGUCGCAAUUAAUUUUUAAUUGAUUAAACUUAAGGCUCACUCCUGCCUCUCAGCUGGAUGUAGAAGCUGCAGCUGCCUGAUGCUGCUCUGCAGUUCAGCAGGUGUAGUGCAGCACUGCUGAUUGCAUCUGUGCAAUCAGUUCUGGCAGAAAGGGCUGUGGCCAGAGAGAGAAGGAAAAAAACGGGAGUAGAACGUCUGUCUGCAGUCAGAGAGAGAUCAUGGAUCCACCAGAGACAGGACGUUGGAGGGAAAGUUGCACUGCCUUUUCCAGGUCCGUUAAGAGAGUCUGUGGUUUAUGUCUGCUGUGGAAAACCAGCAGCUUCAGUGUUCUAAGAGCAGGGGCAGAUGGUAUUGCUUUUUUAAUAGUUAGUAAGAAAUAAGAGGUUUAAGCUAUCCAUACAGCUAAAGCUGAUACUGAUGUUGCUACAGCAGAUUAAUGUUUUUUUCUGUUCAGAAACAAGUCCAGGACUGCAGGUUUUCCAGAGGAGGAACAAGAGAAAUCCAGUCAUCAAAUUCUUUUCCCUGAUGCAGCCCUACCCAAAAUAAGGAGGCAGUUGCAGGCAGUGCCUAUAGCAUGCAACUGAAGUUUGGGAGGGACAAUUUCCCCCUAAAGGAAUACUAGUUAGUUAUUUCUACAAUGCCCAGAGUAUUCUAGACAAGCUGUCUUUACCCAGAGGAACAAGGCAACAAGGGAGGGCAGACACUGCUCCCACAACUCCCUGUUGUAAUGUACAUACCCCAGGUCACCAACACUGGUGUAACUAGUUAUGACAAAGUUCAUCUUACCAGCAAAACGUAUUUUGACAUUCUACCCGCUUCUAUUUUUUAAGCUAAAGGGGAGUUAAUCAUAGCACUCAUCUGUUUUGAAGGGAGUAGAGCAGAAGGUAAGUUUUAACUUCAUACUUCGAAGCUGCUAUGAAUAGAUUAACAGUGUUCCAUGGAAACAACCUGAUACACUUCUUUAUUCUCUUUGUGCUCCGUUUCUGUGUUCUUGGAAAAGCACAAGCUUGUGUAAGCAUAAUCAAUAAAGUUACUCAGGGUACUGCAUCAUCCCAGCAGUGGACACUAACCACAUCUUAAGUCAACAGGCACAUAUAAAUCAAGCUUAAUUAAGAGGAACAGGACAUCUUGGCGAGUUUUGUUUUACUGCUGGCACUGCUACAAUUUACUGAUCUAUGCAUACCGAAAUGUGUGUAUUGCUGCACUCCCAACAGAACUGAGGGAGUUCUGUAAGGGUGUCCUGUAAACUCACAGAGUCAGUGUAGGAGAGGCAGUAUUUAUUCUUCUUUCAUUAUUUCCACAAAGAACUGUUUCUGAGCAGAUGGAAAGUGAUACUGCUCAAAGGAGAAGAAUGGUGGGCUGGAGAACAGCAUUCAGAGCAGUACAGCUUUUGAAGAGUUAGUGAUCAUGUGAAUUUAAUUAUGAAAAUUCUGAUUUGCUGUACAGAUUAUUUCCUGUGUUUUCAAAUUCAUAUCACUGCUUCCCUGCUCAAAAAUAACAGGAUAAAGACAAGUGUAGUUUUCUAAUAACAUCUAUUGCAUGGAAAUCCACAUCCACUGGAGGAAAAGGGAGGCUGUACUGCAGAGAGCAUAUUCAACUACAGAGCCAUUCUCUGGGCAAUGCUGCAUAAUUUAGGAGUGGGUAAAUAUGCCUUCAGGGACAACAUGACACAGAGCAGAUGGUUAAGACAAAAAAAAAAAAAAUCACAGAAAAAAGCCUCAAAGCUUUGUCCAGUCACACAUCCAGUGUCCCUACCGAAGGGACAGGUCCAUUCAUACGCGCUUAGUGAGCUAUGUGUCGGGCAUCACAAAGGUCCUUAAGGACAAACAUUUUGGAGCCGGUCUCCUUUUGGACAGAAAAGGGAGGAAGUUGACUCUGUCUUCCAGUUCCAAGGUGCAGUGUCUUAUUUCUAAUCCUAACCCUAAGUCAAUAUUUAUUGAUCCAACUGACUAAGCUUUUUAGGCUGACCAGCUCUCUACGAAGCAAUCCUGUUCUCUUGAGCCUCUGCAGGGGCCAGUAACUGGUGCUUAACUAACUACUGCUUCCAGUGCGGAAUGUCACGUCCUGCAGCUGCCCCAGACCAGGCUGGGACACUGGCACUUCUCAGAGAGCAACACUGCUGGGGUGGGGGCUCUCCAGAGCACUGAAGUAGUACAGCAGAGCAAGUCCCAGUGGGCUGUGAAUGCUUUUUAAAGUCCUGUCUAGCUCUUAGUGACAAAGUUGAGCAUGAAACCUGUGCUGCCAAACGUACCAGCCCCUUGCUGAGGAAGACACCCAUGGGAAGCAGGCUUGGAAGUGGAGAUUUUGAGGAAAGGCUGUUGUUUUCCAAAUCCAAUCACAGGCACUUUUUUAAAUGGUUGAGCUUUCAUCCACCAAAAAUCACCAAUCAAAUCAAUUCAAAUUGCUGCUAAUUUGGGUUAAAAUAUCAUCACCUUUGUAGAACCCAAACCACCACCAUCCAUCUAAAUAAUUCCUAAGCAAAGACUCAUCAGGAGGCAGAGCCCUUCUGACAGGAAAUCUGGCAGUGCAGUAUGAUGACAAUCAGACUUCUCUGAUGACAAUGACUUCUCCAAGACAAGGAAAGGACAGAGGCAGUGCUUUGGGGCAGUGUUUCAUGCUCAGCAAGUUUGUAGAGAGGGAAUGCAAUCUAUAAAUCACUUGUACUGUAUUUCUGUUUCUAGACUUGAAUGAAUUUCACUUUUCCUUUGUGGGUCAGCAUAUUAAACGUUAAAGAAAAGCUCUAUUUUUCUAAAUCUCUUUCACCAAUAAAGGUCUGACCUGCAGCCAACAGAUGGAUUUAUUUAUCCAUAGAGGAUGGAGUGUUUAUUUUUACACUAAGAUUGGAUAUGGAUUGAAUACAAAGAAGUAUGACCUUUAAACUAUCAAAACCUUAAGUACUAUGAAUGAAUUCCACAAAUGACUAAUAUGGUAGACAAUUCAAUCUUUCUUCCCAAUAAAUCUCUCUCAAAAGAUGUUACCCAGAAUUAAACUUCCAAAUGAAGUACAAGAGAUCCUUGUGCUCUAAUUACAGACUACUUUGAAAAUCCUUCAGUUUUCUCCCGAUUUAUAAUCAGUAAAGAACAAUGAUGACUGAACUAUUCCUGACUAUACUCUAAAGAAAGAAAUUUCAAAUAAAGUAAUUUGGCAACAACCAUAGCUAUUUAUAGCAUUAAAAACGUAAUCUGAACAUUCAAAUUUUCUUAAUUUGGAAGCAGUUGAGUGGGAAGAAAAAUAACUGCACACUGAAUUUUCAAUUGAGCUGUCUCUACUCACUAGCCAAAAAAGCCUGCAAAUGUCAAGGGAACGCUCUCUGUACAUUCAGUCGCUUCCUCCUGUGCUGCUGUACCGGCCCCUCGGCUUCAUUUGGCUUCUGUGCUGUGGUUUGUACCACACUGUUCUGUACACAACAGAUCUGCACUGUAACCGCGGGUCAUUUGCCACUGAUUGUAACCCAGUGCUACAGACUUCUCUGUAUAUAAACCCAGAACCAUGUCCCAUUGCUUCCAAUAGCUCCAAUAAAGGCUUCUCUCUGGACACAGGAA